GACAAUCCCCCUUUACUACGGAUCGUCCGGCACGUACCUGCCGGUGAAGGAGUACACA
rfam:Streptomycetaceae bacterium MP113-05 genomic scaffold scaffold00001, whole genome shotgun sequence.